rnacentral:rRNA from 1 species
GCUAUAAUGCAGUCGAGCGAACAGAUAAGGAGCUUGCUCCUUUGACGUUAGCGGCGGACGGGUGAGUAACACGUGGGUAACCUACCUAUAAGACUGGGAUAACUUCGGGAAACCGGAGCUAAUACCGGAUAACAUUUGGAACCGCAUGGUUCUAAAGUGAAAGAUGGUUUUGCUAUCACUUAUAGAUGGACCCGCGCCGUAUUAGCUAGUUGGUAAGGUAACGGCUUACCAAGGCGACGAUACGUAGCCGACCUGAGAGGGUGAUCGGCCACACUGGAACUGAGACACGGUCCAGACUCCUACGGGAGGCAGCAGUAGGGAAUCUUCCGCAAUGGGCGAAAGCCUGACGGAGCAACGCCGCGUGAGUGAUGAAGGGUUUCGGCUCGUAAAACUCUGUUAUUAGGGAAGAACAAAUGUGUAAGUAACUGUGCACAUCUUGACGGUACCUAAUCAGAAAGCCACGGCUAACUACGUGCCAGCAGCCGCGGUAAUACGUAGGUGGCAAGCGUUAUCCGGAAUUAUUGGGCGUAAAGCGCGCGUAGGCGGUUUCUUAAGUCUGAUGUGAAAGCCCACGGCUCAACCGUGGAGGGUCAUUGGAAACUGGGAAACUUGAGUGCAGAAGAGGAAAGUGGAAUUCCAUGUGUAGCGGUGAAAUGCGCAGAGAUAUGGAGGAACACCAGUGGCGAAGGCGACUUUCUGGUCUGUAACUGACGCUGAUGUGCGAAAGCGUGGGGAUCAAACAGGAUUAGAUACCCUGGUAGUCCACGCCGUAAACGAUGAGUGCUAGUGUUAGGGGGUUUCCGCCCUUAGUGGCUGCAGCUAACGCAUUAGCACUCCGCCUGGGGAGUACGACCGCAAGUGAAACUCAAGGAAUGACGGGACCCGCCCAAGCGGUGG